rnacentral:rRNA from 1 species
CGGCAACAGCUCAAAUUUGAAAUCUGGCUCUCGGGCCCGAGUUGUAAUUUGUAGAGGAUGCUUUUGGUGCGGUGCCUUCCGAGUUCCCUGGAACGGGACGCCAUAGAGGGUGAGAGCCCCGUCUGGUCGGACACCAAGCCUCUGUAAAGCUCCUUCGACGAGUCGAGUAGUUUGGGAAUGCUGCUCUAAAUGGGAGGUAUAUGUCUUCUAAAGCUAAAUACUGGCCAGAGACCGAUAGCGCACAAGUAGAGUGAUCGAAAGAUGAAAAGAACUUUGAAAAGAGAGUUAAAAAGUACGUGAAAUUGUUGAAAGGGAAGCGCUUGUGACCAGACUUGGGCUCGGUUGAUCAUCCAGGGUUCUCCCUGGUGCACUCCUCCAGCCUAGGCCAGCAUCAGUUCGCCGCGGGGGAAAAAGGUAGCGGGAAUGUGGCUCCCUCCGGGGAGUGUUAUAGCCCGUUGCGUAAUACCCUGGGGCGGACUGAGGUUCGCGCAUUCGCAAGGAUGCUGGCAUAAUGGUCAUCAGUGACCCGUCUUGAAACACGGACCAAGGAGUCGUCUUCGUAUGCGAGUGUUCGGGUGUCAAACCCCUACGCGAAAUGAAAGUGAACGCAGGUGAGAGCUUCGGCGCAUCAUCGACCGAUCCUGAUGUCUUCGGAUGGAUUUGAGUAAGAGCAUACGGGGCCGGACCCGAAAGAAGGUGAACUAUGCCUGUAUAGGGUGAAGCCAGAGGAAACUCUGGUGGAGGCUCGCAGCGGUUCUGACGUGCAAAUCGAUCGUCAAAUAUGGGCAUGGGGGCGAA